GCAAGGGACGUGCGGGGGGGGGGGGUACUGCGGAGGGGGCGAGGGGUGUCCGGAAUUAGUUGGCGUAAAGGGCUCGUAGGCGGUUGGUCACGUCGGGAGUGAAAACGCAGGGCUCAACCCUGAGCGUGCUUCCGAUACGGGCCGACUAGAGGUAUGCAGGGGAGAACGGAAUUCCUGGUGUAGCGGUGGAAUGCGCAGAUAUCAGGAGGAACACCGGUGGCGAAGGCGGUUCUCUGGGCAUUACCUGACGCUGAGGAGCGAAAGCAUGGGGAGCGAACAGGAUUAGAUACCCCAGUAUUC
rnacentral:rRNA from 1 species